AUUUUAGCAAGCAAGAAAGCCAUAUGAUGUUAGAGAUGUGAUAGAACAAUAUUCUCAAGGUCACUUGAAUAUGAUGGUUCGUAUUAAAGAAUUACAGAGAAGAUUAGAUUAUACUCUUGGAAAACCAGGUUCAUAUUUAGCAGAAAGAGGAAUGAAACCUAUGACAAUUGGAGCAAGAUUGCAUCGAAUGGAACAACAGAUGUCAGGAAUCGAGAAAAGAUUGGAGACAAUUGUAUCAGCACUUGGAAUAAUUGAGAAAAAUCAGAAACAACCACCUUCUUACAAUGCUUAAGGAAAUGCCAUAAAAUAGAUUCUCAGCAUUUUAAACUAAUUUGGGAAUUCAGGUUUAUAUUUUUGUCUACCAUUCUGCUUUUCCAUUACAAGCACUCGCUUCAUCUAUACAUUUCCAAAUGAGAAGAAAUGAUAAUUUAAAAACUAUGCACAAUUUUUAUAUUUGUUUAUACAUGUUCAAUUAUUUUAGCGUUAAAUAAUUUCAUUUGUAAUUGCUUGUAUUUCAUAAUUUUUAU